rnacentral:sRNA from 1 species
UAAAGAAUACUAUUUAUUGACACAUGC